AAUAGAUACCCUGGUAGUCCACGCCGUAAACGAUGAGUGCUAAGUGUUAGAGGGUUUCCGCCCUUUAGUGCUGCAGCUAACGCAUUAAGCACUCCGCCUGGGGAGUACGGUCGCAAGACUGAAACUCAAAGGAAUUGACGGGGGCCCGCACAAGCGGUGGAGCAUGUGGUUUAAUUCGAAGCAACGCGAAGAACCUUACCAGGUCUUGACAUCCUCUGACAACUCUAGAGAUAGAGCGUUCCCCUUCGGGGGACAGAGUGACAGGUGGUGCAUGGUUGCCGUCAGCUCGUGUCGUGAGAUGUUGGGUUAAGUCCCGCAACGAGCGCAACCCUUGAUCUUAGUUGCCAGCAUUUAGUUGGGCACUCUAAGGUGACUGCCGGUGACAAACCGGAGGAAGGUGGGGAUGACGUCAAAUCAUCAUGCCCCUUAUGACCUGGGCUACACACGUGCUACAAUGGAUGGUACAAAGGGCUGCAAGACCGCGAGGUCAAGCCAAUCCCAUAAAACCAUUCUCAGUUCGGAUUGUAGG
rnacentral:rRNA from 1 species